rnacentral:rRNA from 1 species
UACGUAGGGAGCAAGCGUUGUCCGGAAUCAUUGGGCGUAAAGAGCGCGUAGGCGGCCCUGUAAGUCCGCUGUGAAAGUCAAGGGCUCAACCCUUGAAUGCCGGUGGAUACUGCAGGCUAGAGUCCGGGAAGAGGCGAGGUGGAAUUCCUGGUCGUAGCGGUGAAAUGGCGCAGAUAGUCAAGGAGGAACACCGGGUGGCGAAGGCGGG